CUGCAUUCGGGAGCAGUAGUGCAGGAACUGUCUCAAUUCCAAGCACUGUGUUUGCCACAGGGAUCGACGACAACAUCUUGGCUCUCUCUUUUAAAACUGACGUUGCCACAAUUCAGAAAAUCAAAGCCGGUCUUGUUCCAAAGCCUUGAAAAAUAAGCUUCAUUCUCAAAUUGUAUUGAAUAAACAUUCUUCGCGCAAGUUCUGACUUGUUAGUGAAAAUCAACAAUAUUUCACAACAUUAUCAUAAUUAUCUGAAUUCAAAUUCUACUCGGGCUGUUAAAUUAAGGAAUAUCUCAUUUACUUCUUUGGGCAAUUCUCUAAGGUGGGAAUAGGAUAACAGUAAUUUCCUACACUUCUGAUCCUCCACAAUUCCAUUAACCCCCCCGCCCCCAAAUCAUGAUUGCUAUUCGUAGUUUCCAAUUUUGCAAGAACCUUCAUACAAAUUUAUCCGGUAGUGAAACAUAAUCUAUAAUUUUGUUCAUUGUAUAUUCCUACCACGAGAAUAGAAACCAGAGUCAUUUGAAAUUUGCAGAAAAAGGUAGUCAUUGCAUAGUUUCUAUUAUAUACUCCCUCCGUCCCACCCAAUUGUUUACAUUGUGUUUGGGCACGGAGGUUAAGAAAUAUGUAUACAAUAGUGGAAAAAAGGAAAAAAAGGGGGUGAAGUGGUGAGAUCCAUUGACUAUUAAUAUAUAAGAGCACCUCCAACCAUGAGAAGUAGGGCUGAGCAUUCGGUCGGUUCGGUUCAAAACCGAACCGAACCGAAAUAGCCGAAAUCCGAAAUGUCAAAAUUUUCAUAAACCGAACCGAACCGAAUUAUAUAUUAAACCGAACCGUAACCGAACCGAAAUAUUUCGGUUAAUUCGGUUUUGGUUAUGAAAUAACCGAAUUUUUUGGAUUUUUGAAUUUUAAGAAAACAAUAUUAUGAAAAAUCAAGAUAUGAAACAUCAACAUAUGUAGCCAAAAGUGUUCUGAAGGCUUGAUGUCGCUGAUUUCUUCUGAUGCCUGUAUGCAGGUACUCAAAAGUCACAGACUCACAGGCCAACAUCUGAUUGGGUAUAAAAUCUAAACACAAAGUAGGCAAAUCAGAAGAUAUAUAUAGUACUUAGUGAGUAGUCGAUUAGAUACCUUUGAUGCUUUGAAUUUUUGAUUUGAUUUUUGACUAUAUAUACAGAUGCUUGAAGUCAGCGGCCGGCGGUGAGCAUUGUCGGGAGGCGGGAGAGCGUGCGUGUAAUUAGGGUUGGUGUAAUGUGUUUGGGUAGAGUCAAGG
rnacentral:lncRNA from 1 species